CCCCAUCCUUCUUCUCCAGAACCCGCUUCCACCCAGCAGGCAGCUACAGGUGGCACCCAACGUGGGUCCUGAACAUGGAAGGAACAAUUGGGGGAAAACACUUUCUUGGUGGAGCUCCAAAGAUGGUAUCUGGCACGGAUGCUCCCACUAUGACAUUCUCCCUCAACGCACACUCAGGGAAACAGGACCAAGGAGCCAUGGAUUCAAGUUUCCAAAAGUCACUGUUAGCCUGAGCUCAAACAGUAGGUGAAAGAAACCAAAUAAGGAUCGCACAGAGGUACUGAGAGUAAAUAAGAUGAUUUAAGAACUACGAAGAAGCAAGCAAUGACCUAACUGUACCUUAAGGUGUAGAGAACUCGACCAUCAUUCCAAAUUCUCAGCAUCCUGUUGGGAGUGGUGAUCCAGUGAGCAUCAGCCUUUUUGGAGUUCCUGAAGAAAGUGUCUGGAAUCCAGAUUUUCCCCACCAUAUUGCUAUUCAACCGGAGAACUUUAAUGGUACUGUUAAAUUUCAAACGUCUGUCAUACCAGGUUUGGGCAAAAAAAAUAUCAAUUGUAUAUUCCUGUUUUAAAAAGAACAGAAGAUUUAAAAUGUUUAUUUAUUUAUUUUUUUUAAUCUUGUGCUUACUGCCAGUAUGAGACAUCAUGGGAUAGUGCAUCAGCAGACAAUAGCUUUGCUGGUGAGGUCGCUACCUCAACUGUCUUUUACUCUAGUUUCAGACAUUUAUGAUUUCUGGCCAAAUCUCCAAACCCUGGUAACUACCUUCCUUCAUACACAUACAAAACAAGAAGGCAGACCAUUAUUUGCUAGGGAGAAGUAGAGGUGGGCGCUUCCUUAUCCACUGUAGGAUAUUUAGCAUGACCUCUGCCUCUAUGUCCUAGGUACCAAUGUUACCUAAAAGAAUAAUUGUUCCAGGUUCACUACUGUAGAGAAAAUCGAAGCCCUACGCAUCCAAUAUACUUAAAUGGAGUUGUAGGUUCAGCUGCCUUACAAUAAAAGAAAGGCUCUAAAGAUGCCCAAUGGUUACCCCUGUGAAAAUGUAUAAAAUGCUUUGCCCCUGACAAAUAGCAAAUUCAAAAGACAACAUACUAGAAGUUAUGACUGUUUAUUCCAUUUCUCUAGAUACAAUUAACAUAAUUAAAUUGCUCACUUUGCUUAGCUAUGCAAUGCUUUUAUUUAUGAGUGGAUUAGAAUAAAGUUAUUUUAUUAAGACAUUGGUAGUGAUUCUUACGCUGAAUUAAUCUCUCUCAUGAAGCAUAUUCUUAAAUGUAAUAAUGACAGGUGAACAUAACAAUUCACUAUAAGAGCCUAUCAAAUAUAAGGUGGGUGACUUCAGACAAAGACAAGCAAGUACUGUGUGACAUUUAGACCUGCAGGGCUAGAAUUAGAAAACAGUGGGUCUGGUGAGGCUGCCACAUUCAUAGGCAAUCCCGAGGAAAUCCUUCUUUAUUAGUUGUGCUUUGUUACCCCUCUUUUUACAAAAGAAAAACUAACCCUAAUACAAGGGUCCACCUUCAAGGUCCCGGAUACUUGUCUUAGCAUUUUGACUUUGUCAUCAGUAUGAGAGUUUUUAAUGAAAAACAAAAUCUUGCUGACAUUUUGUGUGGUUUUUGUUGUUGCUUUUGUUUAUUUGUUGGUUUUAGUUUUUGUGAUUCUUCAGCACUUCAGAAAUCCUUCCUUUGGGUCAGUUUCUGACUGUGUGUUUUUCACUUGUCCACUCAUUUAAUAAACCACUGUACAUCUAUAAU
ensembl:processed_transcript